rnacentral:rRNA from 1 species
GACGAACGCUGGCGGCGUGCUUAACACAUGCAAGUCGAACGGAAAGGCCCUGCUUUUGUGGGGUGCUCGAGUGGCGAACGGGUGAGUAACACGUGAGUAACCUGCCCUUGACUUUGGGAUAACUUCAGGAAACUGGGGCUAAUACCGGAUAGGAGCUCCUGCUGCAUGGUGGGGGUUGGAAAGUUUCGGCGGUUGGGGAUGGACUCGCGGCUUAUCAGCUUGUUGGUGGGGUAGUGGCUUACCAAGGCUUUGACGGGUAGCCGGCCUGAGAGGGUGACCGGCCAAAUGGGGAAUGAGAUACGGCCCAGACCCCUACGGGGGGGAGGGGUGGGGAAUAUUGCAAAAGGGGCGGAAGCGUGAGGCAGCAACGCCGGGGGGGGGAGGAGGGCCUUGGGGUUGUAAACCGCUUUCCCCUGGGACGAAGGGGGGGUGGGGGUAAUGGGUAAAGAAACACCGGCUAACUACGG